UGGGGAAUCUUGCGCAAUGGGCGAAAGCCUGACGCAGCAACGCCGCGUGAGCGAAGAAGGCCUUCGGGUUGUAAAGCUCUGUCAGGGGGAAAGAAGGCACCUGGGUUGAUAGCCCAAGGGCUGACGGUACCUCCAAAGGAAGCCACGGCUAACUACGUGCCAGCAACCGCGGUAAUACGUAGGUGGCAAGCGUUGUCCGGAAUCAUUGGGCGUAAAGAGCGCGUAGGUGGCUUGUCAGGUCUGAUGUGAAAACCUGGGGCUCAACUCCAGGCCUGCAUCAGAAACCGGCUUGCUAGAGUCUGGGAGAGGAGAGUGGAAUUCCUGGUGUAGCGGUGAAAUGCGUAGAUAUCAGGAGGAACACCGGUAGCGAAGGCGGCUCUCUGGAACAGUACUGACGCUGAGGCGCGAAAGCUAGGGGAGCGAACAG
rnacentral:rRNA from 1 species